UGGGGGAAUUUUGGACAAUGGGCGAAAGCCUGAUCCAGCAAUGCCGCGUGUGUGAAGAAGGCCUUCGGGUUGUAAAGCACUUUUGUCCGGAAAGAAAUCCUUGGCUCUAAUACAGUCGGGGGAUGACGGUACCGGAAGAGUAAGCACCGGCUAACUACGUGCCAGCAGCCGCGGUAAUACGUAGGGUGCAAGCGUUAAUCGGAAUUACUGGGCGUAAAGCGUGCGCAGGCGGUUUGCUAAGACCGAUGUGAAAUCCCCGGGCUCAACCUGGGAACUGCAUUGGUGACUGGCAGGCUAGAGUAUGGCAGAGGGGGGUAGAAUUCCACGUGUAGCAGUGAAAUGCGUAGAGAUGUGGAGGAAUACCGAUGGCGAAGGCAGCCCCCUGGGCCAAUACUGACGCUCAUGCACGAAAGCGUGGGGAGCAAACAGGAUUAGAUACCCUGGUAGUCCACGCCCUAAACGAUGUCAACUAGUUGUUGGGGAUUCAUUUCCUUAGUAACGUAGCUAACGCGUGAAGUUGACCGCCUGGGGAGUACGGUCGCAAGAUUAAAAGCUC
rnacentral:rRNA from 1 species